rnacentral:rRNA from 1 species
UACGUAGGGCGCAAGCGUUGUCCGGAAUUAUUGGGCGUAAAGAGCGUGUAGGCGGCCCGGUAAGUCCGCUGUAAAAGUCAAAGGCUCAACCUUUGAAUGUCAGUGGAUACUGCCGGGCUAGAGUCCGGAAGAGGCGAGUGGAACUCCUGGUGUAGCGGUGGAAUGCGCAGAUAUCAGGAAGAACACCAACGGCGAAGGCAGCUCGCUGGGACGGUACUGACGCUGAGACGUGAAAGCGUGGGGAGCGAACAGG